CCUACGGGGUGCUGCAGUGGGGAAUAUUGGACAAUGGGCGAAAGCCUGAUCCAGCCAUGCCGCGUGUGUGAAGAAGGCCUUCGGGUUGUAAAGCACUUUCAGUGGGGAAGAAAGCCUUGGGGCUAAUACCCUCGAGGAAGGACAUCACCCACAGAAGAAGCACCGGCUAACUCCGUGCCAGCAGCCGCGGUAAUACGGAGGGUGCGAGCGUUAAUCGGAAUUACUGGGCGUAAAGCGCGCGUAGGCGGUCUGAUAAGCCGGUUGUGAAAGCCCCGGGCUCAACCUGGGAACGGCAUCCGGAACUGUCAGGCUAGAGUGCAGGAGAGGAAGGUAGAAUUCCCGGUGUAGCGGUGAAAUGCGUAGAGAUCGGGAGGAAUACCAGUGGCGAAGGCGGCCUUCUGGACUGAAACUGACGCUGAGGUGCGAAAGCGUGGGUAGCAAACAGGAUUAGAUACCCGGGUAGUC
rnacentral:rRNA from 1 species